UACGGAGGGAGCUAGCGUUGUUCGGAAUUACUGGGCGUAAAGCGCGCGUAGGCGGACCUGCAAGUCGGGGGUGAAAGCCCGAGGCUCAACCUCGGGAACUGCCUUCGAUACUGCGGGUCUCGAGUCCGGGAGAGGUGAGUGGAAUUCCGUAGUGUAGAGGUGAAAUUCGUAGAUAUUAGGAAGAACACCAGGUGCGAAGGCGGCUCACGUGGCCCGGUA
rnacentral:rRNA from 1 species